rnacentral:rRNA from 1 species
CCUACGGGAGGCAGCAGUGAGGAAUAUUGGUCAAUGGGCGCGAGCCUGAACCAGCCAAGUAGCGUGAAGGAUGACUGCCCUACGGGUUGUAAACUUCUGUUAUAAAGGAAUAAAGUGAGGCACGUGUGCCUUGUUGUAUGUACUUUAUGAAUAAGGAUCGGCGAACUCCGUGCCAGCAGCCGCGGUAAUACGGAGGAUCCGAGCGUUAUCCGGAUUUAUUGGGGUUAAAGGGAGCGUAGUUGGGUUGUUAAGUCAGUUGUGAAAGUUUGCGGCUCAACCGUAAAAUUGCACUUGAUACUUGCAGUCUUGAGUACAGUUGCGGUAGGCGUAAUUCGUGGUGUAGCGGU